UCUUCUCUCUAUGAUAUACUGGAACACUGCCUACCUUUUUACAAUUUCCUCAAGUGCUGUCUUAAGCGAUCAUCUGCUCUUCUAAGUUCACCCGUGCCCCCUCCUAGUCUUCCUGUUUCAGCAAACGAAAAGCUCCUUGCAUGGGUUGGUGAUGAGAUUCUACCUCGUGAUAGUGCAAAGGUUUCAGUUCUGGACUCAGUAGUACAAGGAGGUGAUUCUGUUUGGGAAGGACUACAUAUCUAUAAAGGAAAAAUAUUUAAGCUUGAGGAGCAUCUUUAUAGGUCAGUGUGUGAUGGAAACUUUCACUUCUUUGAUUGAUUUUUGUUAGUUGUUUGUAACUAUAGUUUACCACAUGAUGAAUAUGCUUGAUUUUGAGAAGGAUUUUCGAGGACUUCCAUGGUGAGGUCGGGGGUUCGAUUUUGUUGGUCAAGUCGACAGUUCGAUUUUGUACGUUGGUGAGGUCGGCGGUCAAAUUUUCAGAAGUUCAGACUGUUUUGUUCUUCAGAUUUUAGGAGUUUCUUCAGAUUUUUUGUUUUUUUUGUUUUGCUUGCACCUAUUGCUGUAUUGGUUUUCAGAAUUUUCCAUUGUUUUGUUUUUCAAAAUUUUUUUAGGAGGUCGGGAUUUUUGUUUUUUUAGGAGUUCUUUCAGAAUUUUUUGUUUUGGUUUUCAGAUUGUUUUGUUUUUGGUUUUCAGAUUUGUUAGGAGUUGUUUCAGAUUGUUAUUUGUCAUUUCUUUUAAGUUUGUUGUAUUUUUUGGUAAUUAUUGUAAGACUAUGAUGUUUAUUGAAUAUAUGAAUUUAAUGGAUAGUUUAUUGGAGUUA